rnacentral:rRNA from 1 species
GUGGGGAAUAUUGGACAAUGGGGGCAACCCUGAUCCAGCAAUGCCGCGUGUGUGAAGAAGGCCUGCGGGUUGUAAAGCACUUUUGGCAGGGAUGAAAAGCACUGGAUUAAUAACCCAGUGUGUUGACCUAACCUGCAGAAGAAGCACCGGCUAACUCUGUGCCAGCAGCCGCGGUAAUACAGAGGGUGCAAGCGUUAAUCGGAAUUACUGGGCGUAAAGCGCGCGUAGGCCGUCGAGUAAGUCGGAUGUGAAAUCCCCGGGCUUAACCUGGGAAUUGCAUUCGAUACUGCUUGGCUAGAGUGUGGAAGAGGGAAGCGGAAUUUCCGGUGUAGCGGUGAAAUGCGUAGAUAUCGGAAGGAACACCAGUGGCGAAGGCGGCUUCCUGGUCCAACACUGACGCUGAGGCGCGAAAGCGUGGGGAGCGAACAGGAUUAGAAACCCCAGUAGUCC